rnacentral:lncRNA from 1 species
UUGUUUUUUCUUUUCUUUUUGUUUUCUUUCCUAUUAUGGGUUCUAACCAGGGUUGAUUUGGUUAUCUAGAAUAUGCAACUUUUUAUUAUUUCAUAUUUUAGAAUUUAAUUCUCUAAUGUUGCAAGAUCUUGAAAAGAAUGUUGUGCCAAGAGUUGUGUGAUAGAGAAAAUUGUUCAAAUGACUUGGUGCCUUGUUUGCAUCUUUAGUGUUGUGACUUUAGAAUGUAA